rnacentral:rRNA from 1 species
UACGAAGGGGGCUAGCGUUGCUCGGAAUGACUGGGCGUAAAGGGCGCGUAGGCGGAUGGCACAGUCAGAUGUGAAAUUCCCGGGCUUAACCUGGGGGCUGCAUUUGAUACGUGUUGUCUUGAGUUCGGAAAGGAGGUCGUGGAAUUCCCAGUGUAGAGGUGAAAUUCGUAGAUAUUGGGAAGAACACCGGUGGCGAAGGCGGCGACCUGGUCCGACACUGACGCUGAGGCGCGAAAGCGUGGGGAGCAAACAGG